rfam:Capsicum annuum cultivar Zunla-1 chromosome 4, whole genome shotgun sequence
UAAUGAUGAUAAGGGCAAUUACUAAGCAUAUCCUUAAAUCUUUCCCAAACUUGAUAAAGAUUCUCUCCAUCUUUCUGCCUGAAGCUCAGAAUCUUACUUCCCAAACA